UAUCUCAAACAUUUGAAUAUGAAACGAUAGGUCCACUACUCUCAUCGUUUUUUCACUGACCCAGUGAUGCGGGGGUGCGGGGGGGGGGGGGAGGCGGGGGCGGCGAGCCCCGAGGGGCUCUCGCUUCUGGCGCCAAGCUUCCGUCCUGCGCAUGCGGGCGGGACAGUGCUAGGUGGGGAGUUUGACUGGGGCGGUACACCUGUCAAACGGUAACACAGGUGUCCUAAGGCGAGCUCAGGGAGGACAGAAACCUCCCGUGGAGCAGAAGAGCAAAAGCUCGCUUGAUCUUGAUUUUCAGUACGAAUACAGACCGUGAAAGUUCACUUCACUGUGUUAUGUGAACUGUCUCUAAAA
rnacentral:ncRNA from 1 species